CCUACGGGAGGCAGCAGUGAGGAAUAUUGGUCAAUGGGCGGGAGCCUGAACCAGCCAAGUCGCGUGAGGGAAGACGGUCCUAUGGAUUGUAAACCUCUUUAUGCGGGGAGCAAUGCCGGGCACGCGUGCCCGGUGGGAGAAUACCCGCAGAAUAAGCAUCGGCAAACCCCGUGCCAGCAGCCGCGGUAAUACGGGGGAUGCGAGCGUUAUCCGGAUUUUUUGGGGUUAAGGGGUGCGUAGGCGGAUUUUAAGUUCGCGGUAAAAUGUCCGGGCUUAAACCGGGCCGGCCGUUGAAACUGGGGUUCUUGAGUGGGCGAGAAGGAUGCGGAAUGCGUGGUGUAGCGGUGAAAUGCAUAGAUAUCACGCAGAACUCCGAUUGCGAAGGCAGCAUACCGGCGCCCGACUGACGCUGAGGCACGAAAGCGUGGGGAUCGAACAGGAUUAGAUACCCGAGUAGUC
rnacentral:rRNA from 1 species